AUUGAACGCUGGCGGCAUGCCUUACACAUGCAAGUCGAGCGGUAACGGGCCUUCGGGUGCCGACGAGUGGCGAACGGGUGAGUAAUACAUCGGAACGUGCCCGAUCGUGGGGGAUAACGAGGCGAAAGCUUUGCUAAUACCGCAUACGAUCUACGGAUGAAAGCAGGGGACCGCAAGGCCUUGCGCGGACGGAGCGGCCGAUGGCAGAUUAGGUAGUUGGUGGGAUAAAAGCUUACCAAGCCGGCGAUCUGUAGCUGGUCUGAGAGGAUGAUCAGCCACACUGGGGCUGAGGCACGGCCCAGACUCCUACGGGAGGCAGCAGUGGGGAAUUGUGGACGAUGGGCGCAAGCCUGAUCCAGCCAUGCCGCGUGCAGGAUGAAGCCCUGCGGGUUGUAUACUGCUUUUGUACGGAACGAAAAGCCUUCUUUGAAUACAGGAGGGUCAUGACGGUACCGUAAGAAUAAGCACCGGCUAACUACGUG
rnacentral:rRNA from 1 species